ensembl:lncRNA
UUUGGGCCACUUCGGGGCCAUUUGGGGCCAGUUUGGGUCACUUUAAGGCCACUUUGGGGCCAUUUUGGGCCACUUCGGGGCCAUUUGGGGGCAGUUUGGGCCACUUUGGGGCCAUUUUGGGGCAGUUUGGGGCCAUUUGGGGGCAGUUUGGGUCACUUUAAGGCCACUUUGGGGCCAUUUGAGGGCAGUUUGGGGCAGUUUGGAACCAUUUUGGGGCAUUUUGGGUCAGUUUUGGGCCACUUUGGGGCCAUUUGAGGGCAUUUUGGGCCACUUUGGGGCCAUUUGAGGGCACUUUAGGUCAGUUUUAGGCCACUUUGGGGCCAUUUUGGGGCAGUUUGGGGCCAUUUGGGGGCAGUUUGGGUCACCUUAAGGCCACUUUGGGGCCAUUUUGGGUCACUUUGGGGCCAUUUUGGAGCAGUUUGGGUCACUUUAAGGCCACUUUGGAGCCAUUUUGGGUCACUUUGGGACCUUUUUGGGGCAUUUUGAGUUAGUUUUGGGCCACUUUGGGGCCAUUUGAGGGCAUUUUGGGCCACUUUGGGGCCAUUUUGGGUCACUUUAAGGCCACUUUGGGGCCAUUUUGGGCCACUUUGGGGCCAUUUUGGGGCAGUUUGGGUCACUUUAAGGCCACUUUGAGGCCAUUUGAGGGCAUUUUGGGGCCGUUCGGGGCUGUCGGGGUCCCCCCGGGGUCCCGCCUCACCUCGUCCCAGCGGAUGAAUUUGCUGCCCUGCACCAACAUGGCGGGGACCCGCGGCGGCUCCAACGGGAGCGGAACCGGGACCGGGCGCGGCGCCGCCAUGACUGCACCGGGGCGGGAGGGGUAGGGGGGGCGGGGCUACAGGGGAGAGCCGAGCGGCGAUUGGUGGGAGGGUGGGAAAGGGGGAGGGGCCGGAGGAGAGAGACGCGCGGCGAUUGGUGGAAAGAGGGAAAGGGGCGGGGUGAGGGGAGGCGCGCAUGCGCGGAUGCGCCCAGGGGGAGCGGAGUGGGCGUGGCUUGCU